AAUAAAAUCUUAACUUGUCAGUGUUUUACAUUUUAUAACUUUCUGUGAUGCAAUUAAUACACUCACAUUUCAUUUAUUCAGUCAAUAAAAAUUAAUUUAGUGCCUAAGAUGAACUAGGUAUGCCCUCAUAUGCUCAUGUACCUGACAUUCUAGAAGCUUCACAAGACCGAGGUGGAGCCACUGGAGUGUUUUACAUGAGGAAAUGACACACUCUGACUCACAGUAGCAGGACCACCGUGGAGAGAACAGUCAAGUAGCAGGUAAUGGGACAGUGCUAGAGCCACAAUUUAGGAGUGACAGGGUGGUGGGGACUAAGGGGAGAGGAGGGUAUGAGGGAUGAAAGGGACAGAGGGAAGGGCUGGAGAAGCAAGAGGUUAGGAAAAGGAGCAGAGGGAAGGGAUUGGAAAGCAGUAGAAUUCUUACGUUUAAACAUACUGUUUUAUAGAUUUUUAAUACAUCCAUCGACAGAGAUUGCUGGGUGUUCUUUGCAGUUGGCCUUUAAUACCUAACGUAGGACUGCCUAAAACUAAUGUUUUUUAUGUUAAUAAGGUUUAAAAAAUACUUGAUGUUCCUUCUUUGCAGUUGGCCUUUAAUACGGUAUUUGGGACUGCCUAGAAACAAAUUUUUUUUGUUUUUUUUAUUAAUCAGGUUUUAAAAAUACUAAGUGUUCCUAUAAGAUAUACAUACCACUUAGAUGUGAAUACUUCCUAAAAACAGGCAGUGCAUGAGCACAGGUGAGCGGGACUGUGACUGCAUUGAACACUUGAACUGUGAGGUGAAUAGUCUGUACCGGCUCCUGGUUGUAACAUACAGUAACACAGUGUGUUUCUUUGUAUUGAGGCAAUGUCUUAGACUCACCCAGUAACUCAGGGCUAUGGAAUGAAGGUAAAUGUAAAAUACAACAAGCAGGAGUCACAGAUACAUUGUCUGGGAAAGAGAAACUUAGGAACUUUGUGAGUCCUGUUGUAACACUUUUAGACAUAUUUAUAUAUCAAGGGGCCAAAGUCACAUUUUUUACCGAUUAGAUUCCUGAUCAUUCAGGGGUUACCAAGAUUCUGCUACUCACUGUAGUUAAUAAACAAAGAGCAAACUGGUCUCUAUUCUAUCUCAUGCACUCAGGCACAACUUUUCCGGGUUUAAAGAAAAAAAAAAAACUGUCUCUACACCUCUAUCCCCAGGAGGAGCUCACUCUCUGGCGCCAAGUUCCCUGGGGUGGUUUUCUUCUAGAAGAGUCCAGGGGGACAGGUAAGGAGUGGGAGGCAGGGAGCCCAAUUCUGGGAUGGGGAUUCCGGGAUGAAAAGUGAAGAGGGAUGGAGCCCAUGACGAGGGUUUCUCCCUGGUUUCUCAGACGGUUCUUGGGCCAAGACUGAGGGAGACAUUGAGACAGAGGCUUGGCACAAGAGGAGCGCGGUCAGGGCGAAGUCCAUGGCCCCAGGCGUGGCUCUCAGGGUCUCAGGCUCCAAAGGCUGAGUAUUGAUUGGAGAGGCCCAGUGUUGGGGAUUCCCCAUCUCCACAGCGUUUCUCUUCUCCCUCUCCCAACCUAUGUAGGGUCCUUCUUCCUGGAUUCCCUGUUCUGAAGUCCCCGCGAACCCACUGGGACUCAGAUUCUCCCCAGACCCCAAGGAUGGGGUCAUGGCGUCCCGAACCCUCCUCCUACUGCUCUCGGGGACCCUGGCCCUGACCGAGACCUGGGAGGGUGAGUGCGGGAUCCAGAGGGAAAUGGCCUCUGCGAAGAGGAGCGAGGGGCCCGCGCAGCUGGGGCGCAGGACCCGGGAAGCCGCGCCAGGAGGAGGGUCGGGCGGGUCUCAGCCCCUCCGCGCCCCCAGGCUCCCACUCCAUGAGGUAUUUCAGCACCGCCGUGUCCCGGCCCGGCCGCGGGGAGACCGGCUUCAUCGCCGUGAGCUACGUGGACGACACGCAGUUCCUGCGGUUCGACAGCGACGCGGCGAGUCCGAGGAUGGAGCCGCGGGCGCCGUGGAUGGAGCAGGAGGGGCCGGAGUAUUGGGACCGGAGCACACGGAACAUCAAGGCCCACGCACAGACUGGCAGAGUGAGCCUGCGGACCCGGCUCCGCUACUACAACCAGAGCGAGGCCCGUGAGUGACCCCGGCUCCAAGCACAGGUCACGAUCCCUCCCC